rnacentral:rRNA from 1 species
UACAGAGGGUGCGAGCGUUGUCCGGAAUCACUGGGCGUAAAGGGCGCGUAGGUGGCGACCCAAGUCGAUGGUGAAAGCUCGCCGCUCAACGGCGAGUCGGCCACCGAUACUGGGUUGCUGGAGCACUGUAGAGGCAGAUGGAAUUCCGGGUGUAGCGGUGGAAUGCGUAGAGAUCCGGAAGAACACCGGUGGCGAAGGCGGUCUGCUGGGCAGUUGCUGACACUGAGGCGCGACAGCGUGGGGAGCGAUCCGG